GGCAUGCGCUUCGAGGCGGCGCGAAGCCGCUUUGCCCCAUAGUGCCGGGCGCUGGCGGAGGGGUCCGUGGUGGGGGAGAUGGGGGGCGCGCGAGCGGACCGCGGGCGCGGAAGGAGACGUCUUGAAGUGGCGGCGCUGCGAUCCAGCGGGUGGAGCGGCUCAACAACUCCAACUCUGUCAGCCUGUCCUCGUAGCAGAGGUGCUCCAGCCCUUGGAUCAUCUUCGUGGCCCUCCUCUGGACCCAUUCCAACAGCUCCAUAUCCUUCUUAUGUUGGGGAUUCCAGAACUUGACACAGUACUCCAGAUAGGGUCUCAGUAGAGAUCAUCCCAGUGAUGGGACCCUUGCUCCUUUUCCAUCACUCAGGUGGGGGUAGAAGUCACACUGGGGGAUGGGGUCGUACUUUUUCAUAUGCAUAUUUUCAUUUUUUCAUAUACAAUCCCAGUGGAGAUGGAGAAAAAAACAGCAGUAAAGUGAAUCCUAAAUGACAGAGAGUUUGUGGCAGUCCCAGCCCACUCUGUGCUUUUGCUGUUCAUUUUUGUUUGCAAGGAAGUGAAGGUGUUCCCUGAGUUCAGUGGCAAACAGAGCCAGGGAGGCCGAACAGCAGCACUCAGUGCAAAGGGAUCCACUUGAGCUACCAAUUCUGAGUCAUGCAGCUACUAUUAAUACACCUCGCCCUCUGGCUGUCUGAUAAAGAAAGAAAGGUUGGGGGAAGAACUAAGAGGAAUUUUCAAUUAAAGCUGCUCCAAAAAGAAUAAUAACGUUUUAGGAUGAAUUGGAGGUGAGGAAAAAGUGAAGAAGACAAGUGCAACCUAGCAAGCCACAAGGAAUAAUCUCCCAGAGAAUCUGAGGGAGCCUCACUGACUUAAAUUUUUUAAAAAUUUUUUUGGACGAAAUUUAAAGAACAUUCCCAUAAGCUAGAUGACUACAUAAUACAAACUAUGAUGAAAUUAAGUUUAAUUAUAUAAGCCUGAGUUUAAUUGCUUCUUCCAGAGGCAUUUAAUGAGUUGAAUCUGCGAUGAUUUUAUGCAUUUUAUUGUAUAUUUCAAGCAGACAUUUCUCUCACAGUCAUCACUGUAGAACCUGAACAUCUCAGUCUAUUAAAGGUACAUUCAGUUUCCUCUAGUGGGCUAAAGUUUCAAUUCCAGCUCUCUUUAUGCCAUUUUGCUCCAAGGAAGUAGUGACAGUGGCUAAUUCCUCCUUCUCUCUGCUCUUCAUGAAGAACAUUCUGGCUUGAAACAGAAUGUGUUGCAGUACAUUAAACUUCUGAAGUCUUGCAGCCUCUGCAGUUCCACAGUUCCACUGAACAGCCACCAUUAGGAUGCAGCCUAAUGGUUCACAUGGCCUUCUCCUGCAAGUCAGAGUAAGAUCCAAGGGAAUUGAAAAAUAAAAAACCAAACCACAGAAGACCAGACCUUGUUUCGUUCAGUCACCUAAAGAAAUUGUCUGUGAUUCAGUGCAGUGUGCAGAUAAAAUGUGUUUACUUUAGUUGACUGAAUUACAGGCUCUCUUUUCUUCCAAAAUAGUCCAUUGUGAACUGGCUCAAAUACAGGAUUAUUGUACUGGGGCAUGGCUUCUUUACUAGUGUUGAUAGCAUGUGGAAGAAAGUUCCUUUCAAUUUGUGCAUUAUCGUUGUAGGAUACGCUUUAUCUCUUACCCUGUUACAUGAAGAAUAUUAUUGCUGAAAAAUGUCCAAGUAAAUAAUAGCCUUAUCUUCCUUGUCAGCAGCAUAAUGUGGUUUUCUUCUCACCUUGCUUCCUUAACAAGGUGUAAAAUUGCAGUUUGUCUGAUAAAAGAGGGCAGUAAAAACAAAAGUAUAGUUAGAGAUCGUAUUCUUUUUAGCCAUGAAACUGAAACUACAGAAAGAACUACAGGCAAUAAAGAGAGCUUUCAGAUACCAUAUCAACUUAAAUUACACAGCUCUUUAAGAGGCCAGUUAUAAAGAUAAAGUUAAUGAUAAGAAUGCCAUAACUGCAAGAUAUAAAAGUUUGCCUUCCAACAGUAAUGCCAAAAUACAGCUCUUCAUUAAAAAAAAGAUUUAAAAAUUUUAAUUGCACCGUCGGAGGAAUCAAUCCUAGAAUAGCUUUUGAAAGUAAAGAUUUUUGAGUCAAUGCCUCUCUUCUUUUUCAGUGCACCUGCAAAGGCAUAAAGCAUUAGUCAGCGAAGACCUAAUUGUGUGUUAUAAUCUACUUUUAUUAAAGAUAAAUGUACAAUCCAAAGGGCAUUUACUGGACAAGGCAUUUUGGAGAGGAGAACUAAGAAAAUAAAAAAUCACCUUGAGGAAUUUCUCUUUUUUUUGGCCUUCUAUAUGAUCAAGAGAAGGGUUACUCUGGUUUCUCUGCUGAUUGCUCAUCAUCUUCUCUACCGAGUUUGUUCUUCAUGGAGCCAGUCAAAACCACUGAGGCUUUGCAUGAAAAUGGAGGUUUGAUAGCUUGAAGAUCUGCCCCUUCUCACUUCUUUACAUCAUCACCUAUAAUGUAACCUGGAGAUGCAGCAGCUCCUAAAAGGGGAACAGGAAGAUCUGUACAAAAGAGUCUUAUGGGGUGCACUCUGCCAGGCAUAGACCCAGCUGUGCAACAUCAAGACAUCUGCCAGAGCACAGGGAGCUGAGAGCAAGCAAGCACACCUCAAAGGUGUCAGAGAAAAGGAUCAUUGUUCCUAAUGAUGCUGUCAGAGGAGAAGCAUAACGGAUGAACUUAUUACAACCUGGAUUCCCAUGGAAUCUCAAUGUGCAAGCAUUUACUGGUUAGUUUUCGCAGAGAUCACCUCUAUGAAUCCACUUCACACCUGGCUCGUGAACACUAGAAUGGCAAGAGGAAGGAAAUGGCAGGGAGCAGCAAGACCAUAUCAAUUUCACUCCAGAUUUGUACAAAUUGCCAUGGGACUACACUCCAUGGCCUCAGUGAUGAAGCUGAGGACAAAGAUUGUGUGAAUACCUAUCUAUUAUCUCACUGAAAUCGUUUGCCAUCUAGUGGCUUGUUGGCCUCCUACAAAUACAAACUUAAAAAGUACAUCCCAAGGUCAGGUUCAGAGAGGUGUUAGGUAUGCACUGUUUGUAAUGUUUCUUUUAUUUCACUCUGCUACUCUUAUUUCAUCAAGGUUUCCUGACCUAAUUUGCUCCACCAUUUUCUUCAAGCUUGCCCACCCAAAAGUGUACAUUAAGCUGGUGAAAGAUCUGGAGAACAAGACUUAUGAGGAGUGGCUGAGGGAACUGGGAUUGUUUAGCCCGGAGAAGAUAUUACUGAGGGGAGACCUUAACACUCUCUACAACUACCUGAAGGGAAGUUGUAGCGAAGUGGGUGUUGGUUUCUUCUCACAAGUAACAAGUGAUAUGACAAGCAGAAGUGGCCUCAAGCUGUGCCAGCGGAGGUUUAGAUUGGAUAUCAGAAAAGAUUUCUUUACCAAAAGAGUGGCGAAGCACUGGAACAGGCUUCCCAGGGAAGUGGCUGAGUUUUCUUCCCUGGAGGUAUUAAAAAAAUGUGUAGAUGUGGCACUUUGUGUAAGGGGAGACCUUAUUGCUCUCUACAACUACCUAAAAGAAGGCUGCAGUGAGGUGGGUGUUGGUCCCUUUUCCCAAGUGAUAGUUGAUAGGAUGAGAGGAAAUGGCAUCAAGCUGUGUCAGAGGAAAUUUAGAUUGGACAUUAGGAAAAAUUUCUUCACAGAAAGGGUUCUCAGCCACUGGCAGAGGCUGCCCAGGGAGGUGGUUGAGUCACCAUCUCUAGAGAUGUUUAAAAAGCAGGUAGAUGAAGUGCUUGGGGACAUGAUUUAGUAGUGGACAGGUACAGCUGGAGAUGAUGAUCUCUAAGGUCUUUUCCAACCUAAUAAUUCUAUUUAUAUCUAUUUAUAUCUAUAUAUGAUUAUAUCUAUAUCAAUAUAAGAUCUCCGAGAAGACUUUAUAGCAACCUUCCAGUACCUGAAAGGGGCUACAAGAAAGCUGGGGAGGGACUGUUCACAAAGGCUUAUAGUGAUAGGACUAGGGGCAAUGGGUAUAAACUGGAGAGGGGUAGAUUUAGGCUAGACACAAGGAAGGAUUUCUUCACCGUGAGAGUGGUGAGGCACUGGAACAGGUUUCCUACAGAUGUUGUGGCUGCCCCAUCCCUGGAGGUGCUCAAGGCCAGGUUGGAUGGGACCUUGGGCACCCUGAUCUAGUGGGAUGUCCCUGCCCAUGGCAGGGGAGUUGGAACUGUAUGAUCUUUAAGGCCCCUUCCAACCCAAACUAUUCUAUGAUUCUAUGAUAUUUUAUUAGGCAUGGUGGUCUUGGGCUAACGAUUGGACUGGAUGAUCUUAGAGGUCUUUUCCAACCUUAAUGAUUCUAUGAUUCUAUGUUUAUACCGAAAUUAUGAAGGAAUUUAGGAAAGUUCUGUGUUUGGGGGUGAUGGGAUGUCAGGAGCAGCAAGAGUUGGCCACUCUCUAAUGGAAAGUGUGACGUGAGCUGAGCGCAAUACCAAGGCUGAUGAAAGCGGUCACCUCACCAACAAGGAGCCAGGAUGUGGAGCAGCAAGCCAGGGCCAGGACUGGAUUGGGAGACAGCAGUCAGGGUCAGACACGGUACUCUGGUCACUCAUCAGGCAGUGUUAAGGCAGGUCCAAGGCCAAGCCAGAAUGCCAAGCCAGAGAGCUUGGGUUAAAGCCAGACUUGUGGAGGUGUGAGAUGGUGCAAACAGAGCUACUGCACAGCUCCACUGCGGCACAGGCACAGGCUGGCGUAAAGCCUCAGCUUACAAGUGGCUCUCAAUGGAAAGGACAGGCAGGCCCUUGCUGCUAGUUUUUUUCCCCAAUGGCUCUUAUCAGUUUAGGAGCUGACCUCAGACUCUGCCAACUGAACUUCUGCAAGAGGGUAACGUGCUUGGGGCCAUGGCAGUCUGGGGGCUGGAACAAACCUAUGGAACGUGUGCAACACAGGAGUAAAGUACGUUAAUGGAAAUGGCCUGACUCAUGAAAAUGGUGUAUGAAUGAAAAUCCCACAUGAAAGUUAAUCAAAGACAGCUUCAAAGAGCUCACUGUGUUCAGUUAAGGAGAAUCCAGAACUCUGGCUGUUAACAAUGGGUUCAUUAAUGAGAAGAAACAGGGGACAUGUCAGUUAUUAACUGAUCACAAAACAAUUUGAGGGCACUAAUUUGAUGUGCUCAUGAAAAAAAUCAAGUACAGCCAUAGGAUUAGGGCCACACAUUUCUAUGAGAGACUCUGUAUAAGACCUGAAGCGAGUGUGCUAACUAGUCAACUGUGUUUAACAAGGGUGAAUUCAAACUAACAAGACGCACAAAUGACUCAGUGGGAUAAUCAUGAGAAGAGUAAGAGUUUCCUUUGUUAUGAAAGGAGACUAUUAACAACAGAGGCUAAAAUAAAAGGCCUGGAGGGUGUAAAACAAAUAAUGGGUGAACAUCACAAAGACCAAAAACUAUUUAAAAUCAUGGGCGGCACUGGCCAAGGACAAAUUGGUAUAAAUAAUCCUGUACUAAGAAUUAAAUUAAUAAAACAAAUUAUCUGAAAAUUAAUAAAUGAGCCUUCUGCCCUUCCAAAGAGUUACAUUUUGAGACUGAGAGGCAAGAAAACUUUAAGAAACAGAUAAUUACCUCUAUAUUUAGUUACCUGAGUUGCAUAUGACAGCAAAGGCUCACAUUAGAAGGUCCAGAAGGCCCCUUUCAAAUUUAUUUCAUUUCCUGCAUUACCUGUUGAUUUAUGACAAGCAGCUUUCUGGUUAAAGUCAGACUAGAUUGUCUGAUGUGCUCUUUCGGCUUUACAAUAUUAGAAGUCCAUAUAAAGCUGCAUGCAUUUAGGUAUAUACUGCCUGAUCAUAUAUGUAUGACCCUAUGCUGUAAUGACAAUAUUGAAAUAACUUGUAUUAUUUGUGGCCACGUUCUCUUGUGUUGUGAAAGAGUGAAACCUAAUGAAAAAGAGCUCAGUGUGGGUGAGAGAAUACCAGCACAUUAGCUGAGGAUCUGGCACUCAGGGUAUCUAUUUCAGUGACUGCUAUAUGAGAUAUUCACAUAUGUUAACUGCAUUUAUAGUAAUAUAUGAUUUAAUAAACAUAUUGAGUGCAUCGAUUGCAGUUAUACUUUUAAUAUUACUCUACAAAAGGUAUUAUUUGAACAAAUGAAAUUACUUUGCUAGCAAUCAAAGAACAAAUGAAAGCUAUUCUGCUUGUAUUACACAGUGGCAAACUGUAAAGUUUCUACAACCUCUGUGACAGGUACAGUUUUUAAGGAAGAUGUCUAGAAAAAUGGUUAUCCUCAUGUCAGCUGAAAUGUAGAGAUACAACAUGCAUAUAGGCAAUUCUAAUACUUUUUAAAUCCUACAUUAAAUCCAGAGAGAGACAGAAGUUAAUUUGUUUUUAUAGAAAUAAUAUUGGACUGCAAAGGACAAUGACAUAAAAUAGGUUGGUAUAAAGCUACUUUGACAUAGCAAUAAUUGAAAUAAAGCAUAAAAGACAAAAAUCAGACUAUGUAAGACCUUAAGUUGUACAUAUUUGUAAUGGGUAAAGGGAAUCCAUCAUAACAACAUUGCAUCUAGCUUAGGGGGUAGGAGCUAUAUACUUGAAGCAGAAAAACUGGCACAUUCAAGUCACUUGGUUUAUGGACAAGUUUACAGAAUCUUGACAUUUCCACCACAACCAUCUCCUCUCCUUAAAGAAAAUACAUCAGUUUAAGUUAUAUAAUAUUACGUUAGUAUAUCUUACUCUGACACAACAAAAGCAUACUCCUUAAAUCCUAAGGCAUCAGGAGUAAUGCUAGCUACCUCAAGCACAUCAGAGGUAAACAUUUCCUCCUUCUCCCCGU